UGGGGAAUAUUGCACAAUGGGCGAAAGCCUGAUGCAGCAACGCCGCGUGAGCGAUGAAGGACUUCGGGUCGUAAAGCUCUGUCCUCAAGGAAGAUAAUGACGGUAGCCAAAGAGGAAGCUCCGGCUAACUACGUGCCAGCAGCCGCGGUAAUACGUAGGGAGCAAGCGUUGUCCGGAUUUACUGGGUGUAAAGGGUGCGUAGGCGGCUUAUCAAGUCAGGCGUGAAAUAUAUGGGCUUAACCCAUAGACUGCGUUUGAAACUGAUGAGCUUGAGUGAAGUAGAGGUAGGCGGAAUUCCCGGUGUAGCGGUGAAAUGCGUAGAGAUCGGGAGGAACACCAGUGGCGAAGGCGGCCUACUGGGCUUUAACUGACGCUGAGGCACGAAAGCAUGGGUAGCAAACAGG
rnacentral:rRNA from 1 species